CACGUAGGGUGCGAGCGUUGUCCGGAAUUAUUGGGCGUAAAGAGCUCGUAGGCGGUGUGUCGCGUCGGCCGUGAAAACCUGCAGCUUAACUGUGGGCGUGCGGUCGAUACGGGCAUCACUGGAGUUCGGCAGGGGAGACUGGAAUUCCUGGUGUAGCGGUGAAAUGCGCAGAUAUCAGGAGGAACACCGGUGGCGAAGGCGGGUCUCUGGACCGAUACUGACGCUGAGGAGCGAAAGCGUGGGGAGCGAACAGG
rnacentral:rRNA from 1 species